rnacentral:lncRNA from 1 species
UUUUAGUUGUCAUACAACUUAAACAUAAUGGGCCUUGUGGACCAAAACGCUUUUGAGCCCCUAAGCCCAAAACCAACUUAAAAGCCCAAUACGAACCUUUCGUAAAAUUAAUUAACUAAUUAAUUAAUCUUGACCAUUCUUCAAUUAAACCAUUUAAUUGCUUAUCCAUUUUAUUUAAUUUCCUCACAUACAUCCUUACUCGGUGUACGAUCCAUUAGGUUCCAAUUAGCGAGGUAGUGGGCGAUUGUUACUCUUAACGAUCGAUUGUGAAAUUGAAACCACAUUUCAAUUCUCCCUUAAUGAUUAGUGUUUGCCAAUCAUUUAGGGCUUCCACAAACCAUGAGUGACACCUAGCAGUAUGUCAUGGUUACCCAAGCAAAGUAGAAUUGGUUGGAGAACCUAUCCAGUUGCAACUACAAUGCAAUACGGUCCUUCUCUAAUACAAUUUGAGUGAUAGUUUGUUUCAUGUCUACUAUCCAAUGCGAUACAUCUCUAUAUGAUUCCCUUGAAUAUGAUUUGGAACAAACUUCCUAAGUCAUAUUC